GUGUCAGCAGCCGCGGUAAUACGUAGGGAGCAAGCGUUGUCCGGAAUCAUUGGGCGUAAAGCGCGCGUAGGUGGCCACAUAAGUCCGUUGUGAAAGUCAAAAGCUCAACCUUUGAAAGCCGAUGGAUACUGUGUGGCUCGAGUACGGAAGAGGCGAGUGGAAUUCCUGGUGUAGCGGUGGAAUGCGCAGAUAUCAGGAGGAACACCAAUAGCGAAGGCAGCUCGCUGGGACGUUACUGACACUAAGGCGCGAAAGCGUGGGGAGCGAACAGGAUUAGAUACCCUAGUAGUCC
rnacentral:rRNA from 1 species